rnacentral:rRNA from 1 species
UACGAAGGGGGCUAGCGUUGCUCGGAAUCACUGGGCGUAAAGCGCACGUAGGCGGGUUCUUAAGUCGGGGGUGAAAUCCUGGAGCUCAACUCCAGAACUGCCUUUGAUACUGGGAAUCUCGAGUCCGGGAGAGGUGAGUGGAACUGCGAGUGUAGAGGUGAAAUUCGUAGAUAUUCGCAAGAACACCAGUGGCGAAGGCGGCUCACUGGCCCGGUACUGACACUGAGGAGCGAAAGCGUGGGUAGCAAACAGG